GGUUGCAGAAGAUUUGCUUUGACCUCAAAGUACAUUCUUCGUUUCCUUGGUGAUAAAGACCUCAGUCACAGGACAACUGGGUAAACUGAAGGAGCCAAUGCAGCAAAAGAAGGUGGACUUUGCCUUCCAGUUCAGGGUCUUUUAUUACUGGUACUACUAAGGCAAUCUUGGCAAAGUGUCAUUCGUAUUUGUCUAUGAACUUUGUCCUUGGCUACAUAAGAGGGUAUACUGUUAUAAGGCAAGGCAGCAGCACUCCUUUUAUGACAUCAGAGAAGUCUUUGCUAAUGAUUCUGUUGCAUGCUUACCUAAUGUAAAAUAGUAGGCACAUAGUUGAAUCAAGGUUCAGGCAGAGAGGAUCACUUUUAAAAGACUGUAAAAGAAGUUACGUGGAUACUGUGUGUUAUGCAUCAAGAUUCCACAUUUAAGUGAGAGCAUGUGAUCUUUUUCUUUCUGUUUGUGGCUUAUUUCACUUAGAAUAAUGCACUCCAGCUUCAUUCAUAUGGUGGUUGGCAAGCGGUUAAUGCCUCUGUGUUUUAAAAGACUUAUUUUGCCAGAGAAACCCCAAACCUGGAAAGCAACGGCCUGUGAGUACUCAACCCUUAAGACAAUCCUAAACACCCCAAACCUAUCCCAGCAGGAAGUGAGCUGCUAAGGAGAUGUAGCCCACAGAAGAGGUCUCCAAACCUGUGGGCUACAUCACCCAGAGUUCACUGGGGCCACAGAAGAUAAGGGACAAAGGAGAUCCUUGCAGAGAACUCAUCAGGACAGCCAGAUUGGCUAAGGAGCUCACAUCACCUCCAGGUCAGGAUACUUCGUGCUUCCAGUUCUGCACAUCAUAGGAAUUGCUACAUAGCAGAGACUACUUUUUGCUGUUUCCCAUUCUCUUCCUUAUCAAAUGGAUGAUUUUUUUUGGUAAUUAUCCUAUUCUUUCUCUGUCCCUUCAUGUAUUGCAUUUAUGGUUGUAUUGGAGCCGUAGUUUGCUGAGCCAGAAGGAACCACCACACCAGGACCUGACUAAGAAGAAUCGCCCAGAAAUCCUGAACUUGGAGCAAUAACUAGGACCUACAGGCUACAGAACAAUUUAAAAACAGGCAGUGAAGAAAUUCCAGGGGAAAAUGUUUCACUUCUAUGCUGGAGCUACGGAACUCUAAACCCACGGGCAGAGUGUGAGGGGUCCUUAAUUUGAAUUGUGCGUAGACGAGACUCCAUCUUCUAGAAUUUCUAAUCCUUUCCAGCCUUGAGAGAACCAGUUGCAGAUGUGUAAAGAAAUAUCCUAUGGUUACAGUGGCACCUACAGGACAAAUGGAAAUGUUUCAACUUGUUUCUUGGUGCUUUUUUGUGGGGUGGAGGAGUCAGUGAAACAACAGGCAGUGAAAUAAAUAAAUAAAUAAAUAACCAUGCAUCAACCUUAUUGAUCCAGGC